rnacentral:rRNA from 1 species
GACGAACGCUGGCGGCGUGCCUAAUACAUGCAAGUCGAACGCAGUGGGGACGGGUGAGUAACACGUGGGUAACCUCCCAUCAGAGGGGAUAACACUUGGAAACAGGUGCUAAACCGAUACUGAUGGAUGGACCCGCGGUGCAUUAGCUAGUUGGUGAGGUAACGGCUCACCAAGGCCACGAUGCAUAGCCGACCUGGGAGGGUGAUCGCACACACGGGAACUGAGACACGCCCCAGACUCCUAGGGGAGGCAGCAGGGGGGAAUCUUCGAAAAUGGACGAAAGUCUGACCGAGCAACGCCGCGUGAGUGAAGAAGGUUUUCGGAUCUAAAAUCUCUUUUGUUAGAGAAGCGUUAUCUAACCAGACAGCCACGGCUAACUACGUGCCAGCAGCCGCGAUAAUUC